AGCAUGCUUUAGGGUGUAUUUAUGUGCGUAUGUGUGUAAUGACUUGGAUGCUACAUAUAACGUUUGUGGCUAUCCUGAUCGAUGUUUUCUUUCAAUGUCAUUUGAUUCAAGAAACACCACAUAUAUUA